CUGUGGUGAGGAUCCCUGCCCCCCUUCGGCGGGGGCCCCCUCACAAUGUCUCCCAGACACCCACACAUCCAUCCAUUUGUUGCCCCUUCCUCUCCACCACCGUUUCCUCUGGCCCCUCGGGGCUGAGCCCAGGCACAGGAGCCCCUUUCCCGGGGGGGCUUCCUGCUACUCUCCUCCCCAAAUAAGAGCUUGGACUCGGGGACCUCCUCUGUGGCCCUGGAACAAAACUGCGGUGGUGUCGGUGGAGCUGGGGGUGUCGGGGUCAGAGGAAACCCCACCCAUCUUUGGGGCCCUAGCACCUGGCAGGAAGGAGGGAAGGGGGACGGAGGGCAAGAGGGAGCAGCAGGGUAGACGGAGGCGAAGCCGGGAGACAUGAGGACCGAAACCCUGGGCUGGAUAGGAGACCUUGGAGCAGGUGGCAGACAUCGGGUGUUAUCAAGGGGGCGCAGAGAGCCCGGCCCAGGGAGGAAACUCGGGGACGGUGGCAGGCUCACCACACAGUGGAGUCUGGAGGACGAUGAGGAGGCCGCCCGGGAGCGACGCCGGCGGGAGAGGGACAGGCGGCUGCAGGACCAGGACGAGGACCACGGCGGCCUGUCCUCAGAGCCCCCGGAGCAGGAGAAGCUCCUGAAGGCCUCCGAGGCCCCUGAGCAGGAGGAGGAUGAGGGCUUUGCCGACUGGUGCCAGAAGCCAGAGCCGCGGCCACAGCACUGCAGGGCUGAGGAGCCCCCCGAGGCAGAGAGCACAGAGGGGGACCAGGAGGCGGACAGGCCCCUUGAGAACCAGGAUGACGACCAGGCGAGCCCAGCCACAGUCUGCCUGGAAGGGCUGCAUCUGCACCCCAGCUCAGAGUCCCAGGAGGAGCCGGGACCAGAGGCGACCAUCCAGGACAGCCUGGCGCCAGUGGAGGCUGAGGACGCAGAUGAGCAGGAAUGUCAGCAGCCCAGGACGCCCAGCCCCUUGGUCUUGGAGGAGACGACCGAACAUAGCUCGCCUCCCCUGAGCCCCAGCACCAAACUCAUCGACAGAACCGAGUCCCUGAACCGCUCCAUCAAGAAGAGUAACAGUGUGAAGAAGUCCCAGCCAGCCCUGCCCAUCUCCAAGAUUGACGAGCGGCUAGAGCAGUACACCCAGGCCGUCGAGACCGCUGGCCGGACCUCCAAGCUAGUUCGUCAGCCCUCCAUCGAGUUGCCCAGCAUGGCUGUGGCAAGCACCAAGAGCCGGUGGGAGACAGGAGAGGUGCAAGCUCAUUCUGCUGCCAAGGGCCCCUCCUGCAAGGAUAUUGUAGCUGGAGACAUGAGCAAGAAAACCCUCUGGGAGCAGAAAGGAGGCUCCAAGACUUCGUCCACAGUUAAGAGCACCCCGUCUGGGAAGAGGUACAAGUUUGUGGCCACCGGGCAUGGGAAGUACGAGAAGGUGCUCAUGGAUGAGGGCUCAGAGCCCUAGGCCACCCUUCUUGCCCUUCAGAUGUGCCCCCACCGCCAUCUGACAUCAAACCCUGUUCCUUCCAAGACCUCGGCCCGUCUCAGCCAUUCUCUGAGGGGGGAGCUCAAACCUCCCUCCUGGGAAGAGGCUACAUGUCCCGUCUGGGCUCCUUAGGCAGGAGCUCCGUGCCCCUAACCCAUCAGCCUCACAGUUCACGGCCCAGAGCGUCCAGAGGCUGAGCCCGGCCUGCCUCCCUGCCCGCCAGGCUGGAGACAGGGCCAGGCCCUCCACGCCAGGUCAGUCUGUCCAGCCGUCUGCCUCGCAGUAGACUCGGGUGCUUCUCACAGAGCUUCACGCACCCUGUGAGCCCCCACGCUCUGCACACAGGAAACGCCUCCUCCCUGUCCCUCCUGCUGCCAGCCUCGCCCCACCACCCACCCUGCCCCUCCAUGCUCCGUCCACCGGACCUGUCCCUCCUGACUGCCCAGCCACCCCCAGGUUUCCUCAGUGCUCAGCGGGCCCCUCCCAGGUCCGUCGGGCCCUGCUGGACCUUCAGCCCCCCUCUGUCCACGCCACAGUCCUAGGCCCUACGGCCGCCCCGCCGGCCAUUCACCGGAACCUCCAGCCGGUUGCCGUCCGGUUGAAGUUCUUGGGCUGGGGGCUCAGCUCCAAGACCGAGGGGAUGGUCGGGGGGGCCCGGGUGGCCACUUCCUGCAGCUUCCGGGCGUUGAAGUGGGGCCGGUACAGGAAAGGCAGGCGGCUGAGGCUGGCCAGGGAGCGCCCCUCGUCCCUGGGCCCCUCAGGGCCACCACCGCGGGACUCGGCCACCGACACGCGCUCCCCUGAUGCAAACCGGCGGCUCCCUGCACACUCCCAAUCCAGGCUCCCAGGGGAGAGUCCGGCACACGUCCACCCCCAGCCCUGCCGAGGAAGCUGCUUCCCGGUGCCCACCUGGCUGCCCACGCCCCUCCAACGCCUGCCACUGCUGCCACCUCUAUCCCUGGACCCUCCCCCCUCUCCUCCCUCCUGCUCCCUGAGCCCCUGGGCUCUGCCUCUCAUGGCCCAAGGAGGAAAGGGACUCUCACCGAUGCUUGGCUAAAGGGACCGUCCCCACAAAGGCCAAGGGCUCAAAAGGAAGGCGCAGCCUGUGCAGACUCCCAGCCGAGACCACCAAUGCCCACGCUGGGUGCUCAGGCCCUUGUCCCGCCCUGCACCCUGCUUGCAGCCCCUCCGUUCGGUGUAAUAAAGCUCUUCCUGACCCAC